GGGAAGUCAGGACCAGAUGAGAAGCCAGGCUGCUCUGCCCCCGGAGCUCUGCCGAGGCCCGGCCGAGGGGACGAUUCCCAGCCAGGGAGCAGGCAGCGGCAGGGACCCCAGACCCAGGCGCGGCAGGAAGGCCAGGAAUUCACAGCCCCUGGAGGAGCCUCAGGGCCUGGAGACCUUCUCCAGGGAAUUGCUCACUCUUCCUCGUGACCCCUUGUGAUAGACCCUUGAUGCUGCAAAGAACGCGGAGCCCAGAGCCCCCCAACCCCCGCACUGAGAAGCUGGAACAAACGGAGCCUUUAUCCAAACAGCCCAGGUGGCUGGGCCCUUAUCACCCCUGAGGCUGAGGUCUCCGCUCGGGCCUCGGGAGGGGGCAGGGAGAUGCAGAGCAAGGCUGGACUCACCCGAUGUUUCUGGACAGCGGUGGCCUGGGCACGAGGGUGGUGCCGCCUGUGCAGGCUGCUGGGAGGAUGAAGCAUGGGCUGGGCUGUGGUCACGCGGGGCCAGAGAAGUCAGCUGCGAGGUGCUGUGUAAGGACCAUGUCCCUGGCAUACACACCCAGCCCGCCCCUUGGCAGAUCCAGGCUGGCUCAGCCGGGAGGCCAGCGCCCAGCGCCGCUCCGUCUGGGUCUGCUCCACGUGCUUCUCGUGCGAGGUGGUUCAGCAGCCUGGCUGGGCCACAUUUCCUAGGAUGAUGGCAGAGGCACAGGAGGGAGAGCAGGCCAACCUGCUGCCCCUUAGAGCCCAGGCCAGACCCCACCGUUGGUGCCGGUCACGUGGCCAAGCCCCAUCCAGGGUCCCAGGCGCAUGUUCCCGCUUCAGUCAGAAAAACAGUCUCGUGGCAAAGGGCUUGGAUGCGGGACAGGGUGAAGAAUUGUGGCCAAGGACGCCAUCUGCCACCCCAGUCUAAGAAACUUGGACUUGGUCCCAGGACGAUAAGGAGCCGUCAGCAGGUGACACAUAAAAGGGCUGCGGGGGGUGGGGGGAGCGGGCAGUGAUGCGACGGCUGAUACGGUUCAUCAUCCAGGGGCCAGAUGACGGUGGCCUGACUCAGGCCAGGCCAGGGGGAGGGGAGAGAUGACAGAGAGACAUUUAGAAAGAGAACGUCUGGCCCCAGAGACCCUGGGCACCAAGACGGACGCCAGCUGGCGCCUAAGGGUGCAGCCCGGCUUCCAGCUGUGAAAGGUGGGGCAUGGAGAGCGGGAGACACAGGCACCAACAGCGGUAAGAGUGGGGGGGUUAGACGAAUCUACUAUGUCACCCCAACCUUGGAGGCUGGAUCUGUGAUCAAGACCGUGUGGGAGUGGCUCUCCAGAGCCCCCCUGCCCCAAGGGCACGGGGACAGUGACACCCCUCACGGACCUACAUCAUCAGCACCCCGAGAUCCCGCAGACACCUGGACCCGGCUGGCUGUGGGAGGGGUGGCUAUUGCCCCUCCUUGGCCCAGGCGCCCGGCCCUUUAGGGAAGGGAUGCAUCCAUGGGCUCCGAGCCUGUGCCCCUGCCUGGAGGCUGGGACAGCCUCCCAUAACAUGGCCCAGGCCUCUGCUCAUCUCAGCUGGUUGCCACGGCAACCCCAGCUGCGGGGUCCAGGCCUGUGCCUCUGCGUGGGAGGCCCAGGUGGGGCGGGCAGGACAUGCCACUGACAUCCUGACACCUGCCACUCUCCGGGUCCACUGUGAACACCUGCUCCUCUGCGGCACCCUCUGUCCCCCACCGCCCUGUCUGCCCUGCGUCCCUCACUCACACAGGUCACCUGAGCCGGACACCCUGGGGACCUCUGAAGCUGCUCCCCCAGCCCACACCCCUGUAAACAGACUCACACUCCUGGCACAGAGGGGGCCACGUGCCCCCAGGCCCCACCCUGAAGCGGGGAGUGCCCCACUGGUCCGCUGUCUGCAUGGGCCAUGGGACAUCUGGAUGACAUUGUCCUUUGUCCCUGACCACUGCAGCGAAGCCUCCAGGGCCCCUCCCCCCAGAGCCCAGGGUGCUCCCCGUGAGCCCUGCUCAGCCUCCCAACCACACAGGCCCUGAGCUGGGAAGGUGCUGGGUCACCUCAGCAGGAGGACCUCCCCGCCUUGAAGGGAGGGUACACAGGAGGAAUUCCACCCCCCCAAAGCCUCCCCCACACCCACCUUUCCAGCCCCUCCCAGGGACCCCCUCCAGGGACCCCCCCCCCAGAAAGGAAGACUCUCCCGCUCCUAUCUUGUUCCCACAGUCUGAGCGCUUCAGGGUCUGGCUGAGCUGGAGCCCCGGGUGUCCCCUGCCCUGGACCCCUCAGCACCGCCCCCACAGGGUCUAGGACACUCCCCAGCCCUGGGCCCCCUGUCUCAGCAUUGGGGUACACAAGUGUGCAUUGGCAGCUGAGAGCGGGCCUGUGAGCCAGAAGGCCCCUCCCUCCCUGCUCAGCUUGGCGCCCCCCGCCGGAGGCAGGGCCAGAAAACAGGGGUGCCCGGCCACCCCCCAGCUUCCACCAGGGGCCCUCACUGUGUGGGGACCAUAGGACAAGACCCUCCCUGCACUGAUGGAUUGGAGGGGUGUCAGGCCAAGUCCUAGGGGGAGCCACCAGCCACUGUUGACCAGGGGCUUCUUAGACCCCGGAAGCCCCAGAUCCACCCCCUCCCUCGAGAAGAAAGGAGUGGAAAGAGAGGAGGGAGAUGAAGGCAGAGGGGGUGACAUGCCUCCCCGGGCAGAUCUAGUGGCACAGAGCUGACAUGGGUGGCACCCCUCUUCCGACUGCUCCCUCCUGUCUCUCUCUCUCUCAUACACACACACACACACACACACACACACACACACGGCAGGGGACAUCACACUGAGCGCUGGGCCCCCUCUGCCAGGACUGCCUCACAGAGACGGGGAACAGUGCCCUUGGCCCCUGGCAGGGACAGGGCCACCCUGGCACCUCACAGAUGGAGGCGGCUCCUCUGUGUCCAGCAAGGUCAGAUGGCCUCUGCCACGGCCUCCCCACCCAGGGAGCGUCUCGCCAUCUGCACACACUCGGCUGCCAACUCUGCAGCCCUGGCUGGCGCUGGGCCUGCCCCAGCCCGGCCACACUGGCCUGUUUGCCCCAGCAGCCACCUUCUCCAGCGAGGGCUUGCUCCCUCCUGGGGCAAGGCCUACAGCCCUCCAUGGCUCCCCAGGUGACGAAGCCAGGGCCCCUGCAGGCCUGCAGAGUCUCUUCUGCUGGGCCUGGCCUGGCCUGGCUCUGCGCUCCCCCCCCCUACACCCCACAGCUUGUGUCCAGGCUCUGGAGAUACCCCGGGGUCCCCUUGCCUCUGGCCCGGCCACCUGCUGCCUGGCCCUUCUCUCAAGGUCUUGGAGACGAGAAAGAGGUUUGCAGCUCAGCACCCCAUCCCGACUCCACCACCACCCCCGCCCUGCCAACAAGGACAAGCCAGCCCACGUCGGCUCUCACCCAUGCAACGCACUCUACUCACGUGUGGGAUUCCUCCGCCCACAAGCACCUUCCAAGUACAGGAACUACAGCCAAGAGCAAAAGGCAGAAGCACCCGCACCGCCGGCGUCCCAGGAGCCGAGGGCCCAGCAGAGAUGAGACGGGAGAUGCCGCCUUUAAGGAGCCCCGAACCAAUGUGACCAGCGUCCUUAAAGGAAAGGAGACUAGGAGCCGGACACACACAGCAGGAAGCACGCGAGGCACCGAAGGCGGCCGUCUGCGCGCCAGGGAGGAGAGAGGAACCGACCUGCCCGCACCCUGAUCGCCGACAUCCAGCCCCCAGGGCCGUGAGAAAUGAGCAUCUGUAGGGCGUGCCACGGCGGCCCCGGCAGACCGCCGCUCUGUAGGGCAGCACCCGAGGGUCUGGUGGGCGCAGGCGUGGUGGUUGCCAUAGUUACUGAGCGCCCAGCGACGCCCAGCACGUCCCGCUUGGGCUCUGGGUAAAGUCUGCCGUCAGCGCAGUCACGGAGGCCCAGGCUGGCCAGCAGUGAGGGGCUGGCGAGCCGGGGGCCCCUGACUCCUGGGCACCGCCAUCCCCUCCUGGGGAACAGGGGAGCACCCAGCAGGGGGCGAUAGACAGGAGGCCCAGGACCUGCCACUUUACUCUGCAGAGCCCGGAUCCCAGACGCUGGCCGGCCCAGGAGCCCCCCACCCGAAUCUCCAAGUGCCCGGGAUGCCCGCCCUGUAGUGCCCUCCCAGCCCCCAACCUCACUGAAGGAGAGGGUGGGAAGCGGGCCUUCCCCGGCUGGGCCGUGACUGGCGACCGAUAAAGCUCUGCCCGCCCCCCACCCCCGCCAGAGCUCAGGGCCCGUGGGCGCCCGGAAUAUGAAUUCGCCGGUAGAGCUUCCUCCUGAGACGGUCAAGGGCUGUGUCCGAGCCAGACCCCGGAUGCGGCUUCGGGUGCAGCUUGCCAAGGUCUUGGGCAUGGCUGGAGCCUCCCCUGGGCUCCAGCUUGGCCUCUUGCGUGAUUUUACGGUUUACAUUUUGUAGAUGAGCAGACUGGGCCCCAAAAGGUGAGCAGCUUGCCUGGGGUCCCGCCUCCGAAGGGAUGGAGAGGAAUUUGAAUGCGGGGUCCUUGAUCUGCCAGCACCCCUCUUACCCACAGGUGCCCCACACGCCCCACGGGCUCCUUCUCCAAGGCUUUCCCUCUACUUGGAGUGCAGACAGGUCACCUCCUCCAGGAAGGCUUCCCGACUCCCCUCCCCCACGAGCCUGCUGGUGCACAGGCCCCCUCUCCAUGGCAGACACCCUGUCACUAGCUGACUCAACACAUUCUGGGCAGAACCGUGUCCCUCUCCGGGUUGUCUCUCUGUCCCCUGGGGCACGGCAGGGCUGGCACCUUGCUGCCCGGCCUGCUAGAUUUGUUUGUCUGAACAAUUUCCACCCUUGGGCAGUUAUGAGUAAGCUUGCGGUACCUUCAGCCAAGCUCUUUUCACUAGCUCUGUGUUUGUUUGGGCUGUUUUUGCCCUUUUAAAGUAAAAAUAGUUUAUUUUUAACA
rnacentral:lncRNA from 1 species